AAAAUUUUAAGUUACAUAAACUAUUAAUCUUCAAAAUUAAAAAUAUUAUUUUAUAAUAAAUUUUA
rnacentral:tRNA from 1 species